ensembl:lncRNA
UGAUGAUCUUUCAAAGUUUUUUUUGGCUCCUAAUUUUCAUUCCAGUUCUUGUGCCUGAUGAUUUAAAGACGUUUUCUUUGUUGUUGUUAGUUAAACCAUUAAACACUGACCUAUCAAUCAUUAAAGCAUAAAACAGGAAUUUAAUGUAAGAGAGGAACCAGUGUUGUCUACACACGAGGGACAACGUUAAAAUGAUAUUGUUUAUUCCCAUUUCUUUAGGUGAAUCUCCAUAAAAAUUAAUUAAUUAAAGUGAAGUCCAUGAGAAUUGGGGUGAUCACGGUCCUGCUGCUGUUGAACUAUAAGCAGAUGGCCCCGCCCCUCCCUGAGCCUGGUUCUGCCGGAGGUUUCUUCCUGUUAAAAGGGAGUUUUUCCUUCCUACUGUCGCUAAAGUGCUUGCUCACAGGGGGUCAUAUGAUUCUUGGGCUUUUCUCUCUGUAUGUAUUAUUGUAGGGUCUACCUUACAAUAUAAAGCACCUUGAAGCGACUGUUGUUGUGAUUUGGUGCUGCAUAAAUAAAAUUGGAUUGACUAUCAUUGAUGUGUCUGCACAUUUCAAUACAUUUAUGAACUAAUUUCCUGUUUUCCUUGCAAAAUAGAAAAUAUAAAGACACGGCACUACAUUAAUAGAGUCUAGCUCUUGUCCUGUGAAGUCAUAAGUGAACACACGAUAGAGGAUGUUUGAACAGACAGGUUCCAGAUUGUGCUCUGUUUACAAGGACAGCAAUCAAACUGAAGUGGACACGUGGGUGGAGCCGAUGGUUCUCACUGAUUAUCGCAGACAGAGGUCUAAGUUUAAAACUUUAAGUGUUACCACCAUCACUCGGUGGUAACACUGGAGCUCUGUGUGAUUUGGUCGAGUGAAUGUUAGUGUCUGUUUACUCGGUGCCACUCCCGGAAGCCAGGGACGCAGACUGAGCUGCACUGUUGCCAUCUGCUGAUGGAUGAUAAGCACGACUUGGUUCAGACGUCGCCUUUCUAAACCUCGUUUUACUGAAUCCCUCUGGUGUCACAAGAACGUAUUAAAGAAAGG